GUAUGCGGUGCUGCGCUACGCUAAUCCUGAGGAAGAGUCGUCUGACCUGAAUCGGAAUAUGUGUCUCAGAAUUUAAGCUAUGUAAUUUGUUCACCACAAUGAGAAUUUUAACAUCUUUAAGAAGAAUUGUCGUGCCAGAGAGGAAGGCAAGUCUGCUCUGGAAGUGUUGCUGAUAGCCAGGGAUGAGCAAUUCUGCAGUAUGGGCAACCCAGGUGUUGUAAUGCAGUAGUUAAAAGGAGCAAGGUCAUCUUCUGAAAGCAUUGGUCAUGAAACUUGAAAGUUUUAACAGAGGUAAUGUUCCAUUUGUGAUUAAAAGUUAGUGUUUCUCCUUUCUACAAGCACUGCUUUCAUCUUCAUUUUUUGCAUGCUAUUGCACAUGGAAGACCUUCACCUCUGUGCGGGAGGCAUUCCACAGCAAGAAAACGGAUCCGGUUACAGUCUGCCACAGUGGAACAGAAAGUUAGUAACAAACAGCUUUUUAAUGAAAACCAUUUAAAAUUAAAACUUAUAUUAAUUUUUAAUCAGGCUUUGUGUUUUCAGUUGUGUUUAUGACCAAAAAAUAUGCCUUUCUCUCUGAUACAGGAGAGCACAUAUGGUAACCGUUUUAGCAUUUGUUUAAAUGAAAUUAUAAAUAAAAUGUUUGAAAGGGGGUAUCAUUUAUUAAUACGUGAUCCUGGGGUUUCUGCCAGAAGGCUUGGUAAGACAUUAAUAUUAAUACAUGAAUCGAGCUCUUUGUCUUUUCUAAUAUACCGUAUUUUAUUAACAGGUUAAUUAGCAGAAAGUAAGAAUGGUUUACACAGUUAUAUAAACAAGAACAGCUGCUGUGAUAUAACAAAGUGAAUUAAAAGUGAGCCAGCAAGGUUAAGCCCUUAAGAAUACUCAUUUAGGCCAAGGGAUGAACCAAACUAAUAAAGAAGUACCACUUACCUAAACUUGUCAGUCAGUAUUAACUUUGUAUACCUGAAAGCUUCAUACUCAGGUGUGCUAUACUGUUGUAGACCUGGCAGAAAGUACUAAUUCAUCAAUACCUAACACACUGGACUUCCAGUUUAUCAGAAGGGAUGCAGUCUUGUAAUUGAGCAGAAGGAUGAAAUGUUUGAAAUAAAAACAUGUUAGUGUUGGCAUUAGCUUGUCUUGGGACUCACCAGCAGAAGCUUUGAUGUCACUUAAUGGAAGUCUGCCUCUUUGCCUCCUAGACUGUCAUGACUACUUUUGAGGUAGGAUAUUGUAGAACUUAAGGUUCCAAAGUCUGUCUGAUGUCUUAAAUUUUGUUGUAGGUUUUCUUUGCCAUAUCCCACACCUCCCCCAGUGCUGCCUCCCCAUGCUCUUCCAUUGUGCUUCUGUUGCGAUUCCUUUCCGCCUUAAACACAAGUUGCUUCAGGUCCUUCACAAGCUAAUAGAUUCCUAGGAUCUUAGAAUCAUUUUGGUUGGAAAAGAUCUUUAAGAUUUUUGAGUGCAACCAUUGUUGAAAUAGUAGUUACAGCAGUAUGUUGACUUAGGGAAACACCAAGUAAGUAAACCCAUAAAACUAACCUCUCUUGUGUAACGAUGACUCUGUGUAUCCGUUUUUAUUCUACAUUUGUAACAGUGGGAUAUAAAUAUCCCAGAUGGAGAGUAAGACUUUAGUAUUUUUUAGGCAGAAAGCAAGGUUUUUACAACUCAAAUACCAUCCUUUUUCAGAUUAUAUGAAUAGCUUGAACAGUCCACUGGAGAACAGCAAGGCCUGUUGGGAGAAAACCAGCAUAAAGAUAACUAACUGAAUGUGCACCAGAGGCCCAUAUGCUUAAAACAGGAGGAAGAAGUGAACUAUUAUGGUCAUCUCUGCUCCUUGCUCCAAAAGAAAGCUAUAAUGUAGCUUGUGUAUAUAAACUGAUUGGAAACUUGGAGUUCUACUUUUUUUCUACAUCCUUGUGAGGCACUUUAUGCAUUAAAGGGAUUUGCAAAAAUAACCACGUUAACUACACUCCUGUGACCUACAGGUACAGAAUGAAACAGACAGAGAUUAGUAAGAUCUCAUCCUCCUUUCCUAAGUUGUCAUGUGUUUAAUAGAUAAUCAUUAGGUCUUCUGAGGGUCAAGAUUACUUUUUUUUAUGCUAAUUGAAAGAAAGAAUAUUUUCACUGAGCUAGACCACCAUGUCCUAGAGCUGGCCUGCUAAUUGCACAAGGAUUGAGACCCACCCUCCUCUGAAACCCAAGAAACGCAGCUCACCUGAAAAGCCCUGAGAGACAGAGGGCAGGUGUGGGAGGAAGACGGCAAAGUAAGAGUCAUCAGUGGGAGGAGAGAUACAUGCAGAACCUGCACCUUGCAGGUUCCGCCUGUGUGCGCUGACUCUCCCUUAACAUUUGACAGAGAUGAGCUGUUCUGUCUCCACAGGUGGAUUCUUCAUUUUUACAGUAGCUGACAUUUUGUGAUACAAAUUCUGAACUGUAUUUUAAGUUGUACCUCCACUCUUCAUACCUACAGAUACAUCACAGAAUUAUUUUUUUGUAAAACUAAGCUUAAAAGUAUGAGUGACUUUGUUUUUUCUUUAGUAAAAGGAUGCAAUAUCUGGUUUUAUUUUUUUUGUUAUUCUUCUCUGGUGAAUUUCACAGUAGACCAGAUGAAAGCAAUCAUGUGCAAGAAGUCAAAUAAUAGCCAUAGGUCUGUGAUUGCUCAUGUUGAUCAUGGCACAUGAACCUUGUCAGACUCCUGUCAAGGUGUGCAAAGCAGACAUCAUAACUUCAGCUGCAGCUGGAGAAAUGCAAUUCACAGACAUAUGGAAAGAUGAACAAAAAAGGUGUAUCACAAUCAAAUCUAGAUAGGAAUUUGUCCCAGAAGCAGGUUCAUUCACCUGGUAUGCAGCACACUGGUACACACGCAAAGCAGGGGUGUUUUUACCGACCUCAUAUUUGCAGAGGCAGGAGCUAGGUGGUAUCACACAUAGUUCAAACUGAUUAUAGUGUCACACAUUUGUGGAAGUCUGACUAACAUACUCCUCCUGCCUAUGUGUAUGUGUUAUUUUUCUGCCUCUUUGUUGGUUUACAGCUUGUUCACCUUCAAUUAACACAGGAGUAUCUGCAAAAUUAAUAAGGUGUGAUCUGAGAGAGGUGGUCUUGAAGACAAGGAAUGUCUCAGCUCAAGAGAGUGUGUUAAUGUGUUAAUGAGUAAAGUUUACUGAUCAGGAACAUUAGCAACAGUUUGACAUCUUCACAAUUUGCUGAUAAAGGUUUCUUCUGUAGACAGGAUCUUGUUUCUUUAGGACUUGAAGUCCUUGGUGUCUUCUCGCAGCUUUAAAUUUUACUUCAGAAAUUUCCAGGCAUCAUCAAUCUUUCAUACUUUCUUCAAGGCUGUAGUCUCUAUCUCGGCAUGCAUUGUUUAUACAAAGUAACAAGCUUUAAGCAGUAAAGCCCCUGAUCAGUGGUCCUCCUUGGAAAACUAAUGCAGUGUACUCAGCCCUAACUUGAAUGGUGUCACUGUAGCCUAAGUAUUUACUCAAAUGGUUUCACUUAGGUAAUCGCAUCCUUUCUUUUUCAUCUGAAGACAGAAAAACGAUUUGCUAAAAGCCUUGCAUAUUGUCAGAUCCUUUUAGAGCAAGCUCUGCAUUCCAGAAAUUCACAGUCUUUGGAGUGCAGUCUGGGCAGCAUUGGAAUAGAGCUUUUAAGUGGUAUCUAAUGACCAUUUUUACCUGCUUCUCACUACAGAGAAAGAUGUUUUAAGAAAGAUUCUUAGUAGUAAUCUUCAUUUUUACUGGGUUGCUUACUGAAUAAUAGUCUCUGCCUCCUGUGGUGGGUAGUUUUGGGGUUUUACCUUUAAUGCCUGCAGCUGCAAAGUUAACAAAUUGUAGAGUGAUUUGGAGCAUAACUGCACAAGUUUCUGACAGUGAUGUUAUGCAGUGACUGCUAUCUUGAGGUGUUGGUUUUGAAUAAGAAUAAAAACUUAUUGCACUCAAAUCAGUAUUUUAGGUCAUAAGAACUUCAAAAGUUGAAGUAUCUACCUGUUUAAGUGUGUAAAGAAAUAUUGUCCCUGCAACAGGGCAGGUAUAGUUGCAUGACCAAUGCGAGUUUCAAAAUCAGUGAAAUAUGAAAUGUUAUGAAAGUAUUAAAAUUAAUUGUCUUUUCUUACAGGGCAAUUUGUAUGUGUUAUGAUCUCACAGACAAUGACUAGGCCAUCAUUAAACAGCAUAGGGAAUAGUCUAAGUUUUCUUAUUAACUUAAUACUCUGGAACACACUGAGUUCUCUGAAAUUACAGCAGCUCUUUGCAUCACUGAUGGUGUUCUUUCUGUGUUUCACUGUGUUUCAAGUAAGCAUGCCCUUUAGCCUGACCUCAGUGCCAGGCAAGGUCGUAGAACAGGUCAUCUUGAGUGCCAUCACAAAGCACCUUCAGAAUGGUCAAGGGAUCAGGCCCAGCCAGCAGGGGUUUAGGAAGGGCAGGUUCUGCCUGACCAACCUGAUCUCCUUUUAUGAUCAGGUUACCUGCCUGGUGAAUGUGGGGAAGGCAGUGGAUGUAGUCUACUCUGCUAGCUUGAAGCUGGCUAGAAUGUUUUGGUGAGAAGAACUACAUUACAGGCUGUGAAAGGGAAACAGUGCUGAUGUCUUCUUCACUCAUAGGCUUGCUGAGAGGUAUAAGAGCAAGAAUCCAAACGUAGAUAAGGGAGUCACUCUCUGUCCGGGCUGUUGGCUGCAUUCUUCUUUAAUGUAACUUGAUUAAUACACCUGCUUCCUAACCUCCCUGGCCCAUGCUCCACUCUUCCUUGGGCACAAGGCAACCUCUGGGGUAAGGUGGAGGGGUGGGAGAAGGGGGAAGGGCAGUUGUAGGGCCCUCCUGGGAACUCAGGUUUCUGGGAGGGCUGUUAUGUUUCUGUAUUACCUUUUACCUUGUGUAUUUCUGUAUAUAACUGUAUAUACUGUAAAUAUCUGCUUGUGUAUUGUGCUAAGCUGUAAAUAUAAGCUUCAUUCAAAUUCCCAGAGCUGGCUGAGUCUGGCCUGGGUGA